rnacentral:rRNA from 1 species
CCCUUAGAUGUUCUGGGCCGCACGCGCGCUACACUGAUGACUUCAACGAGUUUUUUCUAUUUGGAAAUGUCCUUAACCGGAAGGUUUGGGUAAUCUUUUAAAUGGUCAUCGUGAUGGGGCUAGAUUCUUGCAAUUAUUAAUCUCCAACGAGGAAUUCCUAGUAAACGCAAGUCAUCAACUUGCAUUGAUUACGUCCCUGCCCUUUGUACACACCGCCCGUCGCUCCUACCGAUUGAGUGGUCCGGUGAGGCUUUGGGAUCUGAGCGGAAAGAGCGUUUCGCUGUUUCUGCUCGGAAAACUCAGUCGAACCUUAUCAUUUAGAGGAAGGAGAAGUCGUAACA